rnacentral:lncRNA from 1 species
CCCAGAAAAGUUCUUUUGCGUUACUGUCUUCGCUCCAAGCUGCAUAAUUUGAUAACUUUAUGAACGAGUAAAUUGCUGCAUUCAUAUUUUUAAAUUCCACCUCUUCGAGCAUGACGGGGAAAAUUGUUAAUGAUCCUUCUUUAGUAAGUUUACUUCGAGCCACAUCAAGCUGAAAGAGACACCAUUCAUUUUUGGAAAAGUUAUUAGAAAAAACAGGUAUAACCGUUUUGCUCAAAUUCAUGUGAUCAACGAUAUUGUCCGCAAACACUUUCCCAACUUCGAAAUCCCUAUGCGGAAUACAUAGUUGGAAGCCAUGUUCUGUUUCUAUUUCCUUGAUGAGUUUAUC